GACGAACGCUGGCGGCGUGCUUAACACAUGCAAGUCGAACGGAAAGGCCCUGCUUUUGUGGGGCGCUCGAGUGGCGAACGGGUGAGUAACACGUGAGUAACCUGCCCUUGACUUUGGGAUAACUUCAGGAAACUGGGGCUAAUACCGGAUAGGAGCUCCUGCUGCAUGGUGGGGGUUGGAAAGUUUCGGCGGUUGGGGAUGGACUCGCGGCUUAUCAGCAUGUUGGUGGGGUAGUGGCUUACCAAGGCUUUGACGGGUAGCCGGCCUGAGAGGGUGACCGGCCACAUUGGGACUGAGAUACGGCCCAGACUCCUACGGGAGGCAGCAGUGGGGAAUAUUGCACAAUGGGCGGAAGCCUGAUGCAGCAACGCCGCGUGCGGGAUGACGGCCUUCGGGUUGUAAACCGCUUUCGCCUGUGACGAAGCGUGAGUGACGGUAAUGGGUAAAGAAGCACCGGCUAACUACGUG
rnacentral:rRNA from 1 species